CGCUCAGGUGCUGAGGUUGACUCUUCAUCUCUCUGAUACCUGCUCAGUAAAAAGCCAUUUUUUAGUUGUAGUAUAAAUAGUAGUAUAAAAUACUACAACUACUUCUACAAGAUAAUUAUCUGCUCUUGUUUUCUUACUCAUUGAGGACUAUUUCCUGUGUUUUCCUCCGCUGCGGAGUGAUAUGAGACGAAACGAAAGUUAAGGAAAUGAAACCUGAACCGCAGCUGAAGAUGAAGGAUCUAUAAUUAUGAUAUUUUAGAGGGCGUGUCUGUGACGUCAUGGAACAGCUGAUCCAUCUGUUUUCCAGAGAAUGAAAGUUGAAGAGAAGCUGUGAGCUGGUUCAAGAAAUAGAAACUAUAGAAGUGAUGUUACUUUUCACUUCAUGGCCAUAAGUUUGUGGACAGUUCCUGGCUUUGGUCUCUUGGUUCCUCUGAAGAUAUAAAUAUAAUAUUUCUGUAUUCUAACAGUUCUCUCUUGACAGGAACAUCCCAGUGCUGAUGUGUCUCAUUACAUCUGUUUUAAGGGUUCAUUUAGUAAUCAAUUCAUUUUCUGUUUCUGUUUUAUUUCACAAUAAACUAAAUCAGACUUUGGUUUUAAAAGGUUGAGAAUCCAUCGAUUAAUGCAAAUAAUAUUCAGAUGAUUCGUGAAUGAAACUAGAUGAGUUGCAUCUUUAUUAAUGUAAUCGACAGUAGAACAUUGAGUUGCUUACUGUGAGAACACGUUAAAGACAGAAACAACUGAUUAUUAUUAUUCUAACAAGUUCAAAGACAUCAAACUAUUCAAAUAUUUAGAACCAACAUCAGAGCAAAAUACACAAUAUCCACAUUCAUAAGAAAUGGUACACAUUAAUAUCAAUAAUACCAGCUAAUAUCAUUAUACACAUUCAUUCCCAUUGAUGCACAUUAGCGGAUAUUAAUGAAUAUCGUGUUGAUUAUAGACGUCUGACUGAUAAAGUUGAACCUCGUUAACGUUGUUCGUUACAGGAAGUUGUGUAAAUUCUCCCACGACAUUCAUUCAGCUCAUAACUUUGAGUUACUGAGAGAAUGUACGCUGCACGAGCUCACCGAGGACCAGCUGCUGCUGCUGCUGCUGCAGAACGACUGCACGCUGCUACCAGAGGUGGUUUGUCUCUUCUCUGUUUUCACUCUUUUACGGUUUCUUCUGGACAAAUGAACUCAGAUGAGGAUCCUGCUCUCUUAUUGGACGAUACAGCUGUCACUCCAAAUGUCAGAAUAGGCUUCAUGUCACUUCUUUACAGUAACAAUGAAAAAAGAACAACUUUAUUUUAAAAAAGUCCAGAGAGGGUGAAGAAGAGAAGCAUCGAAGAGGCUCAAACAGAACCAGAAGGUUGAGUCAGAAAGAAAAAAGAACAAAAAAAAGAAAAUAUGAAAGUGUUUCCUCAGAGGUAAAGUAAAACAAUUUGUUCUGUAGGUUCGACUGGUUUUUAUGAAUAUUUAUCACAUUAAACAAUAUACAUCCUGUCUUUACAUAUUUACUCUAUCUCAUAUUUAGAAAUAUAAAUACUUUAUUAUGAGAUGAAAAAUGUAUUUUCUGUCCAUUUAUGCGUCUCUGUAUGACUUCCUGUCUCAGGUGUGUCUGCACUACAACAAAGGCUCUGGUCUUCACGGCGGCUGCACCUUCCAGGAGAACUGCACCAAAGUGCACCUGUGUCAACACUUCGUU